GCGCGGGAGAGAUCGCCGGCUUUCGGGCUGGCGGCGCCGAAGGAGCAACCGCCCCGGAAACUCUCAGGCAAGCGAACCGCGCG
rnacentral:ncRNA from 1 species